AUUGAACGCUGGCGGCAUGCCCUACACAUGCAAGUCGAACGGUAACAGGUUAAGCUGACGAGUGGCGAACGGGUGAGUAAUGUAUCGGAACGUGCCCAGUCGUGGGGGAUAACUACUCGAAAGAGUGGCUAAUACCGCAUACGACCUGAGGGUGAAAGCGGGGGACCGUAAGGCCUCGCGCGAUUGGAGCGGCCGAUAUCAGAUUAGCUAGUUGGUGGGGUAAAAGCCCACCAAGGCGACGAUCUGUAGCUGGUCUGAGAGGACGACCAGCCACACUGGACUGAGACACGGCCCAGACUCCUACGGGAGGCAGCAGUGGGGAAUUUUGGACAAUGGACGCAAGUCUGAUCCAGCCAUGCCGCGUGCGGGAAGAAGGCCUUCGGGUUGUAAACCGCUUUUGUCAGGGAAGAAACGAGUUUCUCUAAUACAGAGACUUAAUGACGGUACCUGAAGAAUAAGCACCGGCUAACUACGUGCCAGCCGCCGCCGUAACAC
rnacentral:rRNA from 1 species